UCGGACGUGGUGUACGGUGCAUGCUUGUACAUGAUAUGAAUGCAUUGCAUCGAUUGAAGCGGGAGGCCUGGGUUCGACCCCCAGCGUCCGAA